rnacentral:misc_RNA from 1 species
GAUGAAGAACGCAGCGAAAUGCGAAAAGUAGUGUGAAUUGCAGAAUUCAGUGAAUCAUCGAAUCUUUGAACGCACAUUGCGCCCCUUGGUAUUCCGAGGGGCAUGCCUGUUCGAGCGUCAUUUCAACCCUCAAGCACAGCUUGGUCUUGGGCUUCGCCGCUAACCCGGCGGGUCUUAAAAUCAGUGGCGGUGCCGUCGGGCCCUGAGCGCAGUAAUCUCUCUCGCUAUAGGGUCCCGGCGGAUGCUGGCCAGUAACCCCCAAUUUUCUAUGGUUGACCUCGGAUCAGGUAGGGAUACCCGCUGAACUUAAGCAUAUCAAUAAGCGGAGGA